GCACAAGCGGUGGAACAUGUGGUUUAAUUCGAUGAUACGCGAGGAACCUUACCUGGGCUUAAAUGUGAGACGACGUUACGGGAAAUCGUAAUUCCCUUCGGGGCGUUUUGCAAGGUGCUGCAUGGUUGUCGUCAGCUCGUGCCGUGAGGUGUCGGGUUAAGUCCCAUAACGAGCGCAACCCUUAUCGUUAGUUGCCAGCGGGUAAUGCCGGGGACUCUAGCGAAACUGCCGGUGUAAACCGAGAGGAAGGUGGGGAUGACGUCAAAUCAGCACGGCCCUUAUGUCCAGGGCUACACACGUGUUACAAUGGUCGGUACAGAGGGCAGCUACCCGGUGACAGGAUGCUAAUCUCGAAAGCCGGUCUUAGUUCGGAUUGGAGUCUGCAACUCGACUCCAUGAAGCUGGAAUCGCUAGUAAUCGCGCAUCAGCCACGGCGCGGUGAAUACGUUCCCGGGCCUUGUACACACCGCCCGUCAAGCCAUGGAAGCCGGGGGUACCUGAAGUCUGUAACCGCAAGGAGCGGCCUAGGGUAAAACUGGUGA
rnacentral:rRNA from 1 species